GUGCUCACUUCUGCAGCCCAAAUACUAAAAUUGGAACUAUACAGAGAAGAUUAGCAUGGUUCCUGCUCAAGGAUGACACACAAAUUCGUGAAGCUGUCCAUAUUUUU
ensembl:snRNA U6 U6 spliceosomal RNA